GACGAACGCUGGCGGCGUGCUUAACACAUGCAAGUCGAACGGAAAGGCCCUGCUUUUGUGGGGUGCUCGAGUGGCGAACGGGUGAGUAACACGUGAGUAACCUGCCCUUGACUUUGGGAUAACUUCAGGAAACUGGGGCUAAUACCGUAUAGGAGCUCCUGCUGCAUGGUGGGGGUUGGAAAGUUUCGGCGGUUGGGGAUGGACUCGCGGCUUAUCAGCUUGUUGGUGGGGUAGUGGCUUACCAAGGCUUUGACGGGUAGCCGGCCUGAGAGGGUGACCGGCCACAUUGGGACUGAGAUACGGCCCAGACUCCUACGGGAGGCAGCAGUGGGGAAUAUUGCACAAUGGGAGGAAGCCUGAUGCAGCAACGCCGCGUGCGGGAUGACGGCCUUCGGGUUGUAAACCGCUUUCGCCUGUGACGAAGCGUGAGUGACGGUAAUGGGUAAAGAAGCACCGGCUAACUACGUG
rnacentral:rRNA from 1 species